GUGUGGUUAAAAAGCUCGUAGUUGGAUCUCACAACCUUGGAGCGGUCGCCUAAGCGGUGUACUGCUUCUUAGGUUGUGCUUUUGCUGGAGGUUUAGAGGUGCUCUUGAUCGAGUGUCUCUGGAUGCCAGCAGGUUUACUUUGAAAAAAUUAGAGUGCUCAAAGCAGGCUAUUCCGCCUGUAUAUCGGUGCAUGGAAUAAUAGAAUAGGAUGUCGAUCCUAUUUUGUUGGUUUUCGGGACUCAA
rnacentral:rRNA from 1 species